rnacentral:rRNA from 1 species
UACGGAAGGCAGCAGUGGGGAAUAUUGCACAAUGGGCGCAAGCCUGAUGCAGCCAUGCCGCGUGUAUGAAGAAGGCCUUCGGGUUGUAAAGUACUUUCAGUCGUGAGGAAGGUGUUAAGGUUAAUAACCUUAGCAAUUGACGUUAGCGACAGAAGAAGCACCGGCUAACUCCGUGCCAGCAGCCGCGGUAAUACGGAGGGUGCGAGCGUUAAUCGGAAUUACUGGGCUAAAGGGCACGCAGGCGGUUAAUUAAGUUGGAUGUGAAAUCCCCGGGCUUAACCUGGGAAUGGCAUUCAAGACUGGUUAGCUAGAGUCUUGUAGAGGGGGUAGAAUUCCAUGUGUAGCGGUGAAAUGCGUAGAGAUGUGGAGGAAUACCGGUGGCGAAGGCGGCCCCUGGCAAAGACUGACGCUCAUGUGCGAAAGCGUGGGGAGCGAAACAGGGAUUAGAUACC